GUCCACGCCCUAAACGAUGAUGACUAGUUGUUGGAGGAGUUAAAUCCUUUAGUAACGCAGCUAACGCGAGAAGUCAUCCGCCUGGGGAGUACGGUCGCAAGAUUAAAACUCAAAGGAAUUGACGGGGCCCGCACAAGCGGUGGAUGAUGUGGUUUAAUUCGACGCAACGCGAAAAACCUUACCUACCCUUGACAUGUACGGAACCUCACGGAGACGUGGGGGUGCUCGAAAGAGAGCCGUAACACAGGUGCUGCAUGGCUGUCGG
rnacentral:rRNA from 1 species